UUUCCGUAGGUGAACCUGCGGAAGGAUCAUUACAUAUUGGUCAAAAGAAUAGUU
rnacentral:rRNA from 1 species